GGACAUUCCGCAGAAUUAAGAUCUGUUAAUGAAAUGAAAUGAUCAGAGUUGUCAUCAGUUCCCACCGGCCACACCAGCAGCUCCCCAUAUUCACAGGAGUUAUAGGACUGUGGGCAGUGACAGGGCUUCGUGAUGAAAAUGGAUUCGGAUCAUGGAUGUGCAUCAUAUCUUAUCCCAUGAAGAUAUGCAAAAUAUUUAUUCAUCCUCUGUCACUUCUUUGUUCCCCACAUCCAUUUCUCCAGCCUUGUUCUCCAGGGGUUGAUGAACAUAGCUGCUUCCAAACCUAGCAGCUUGCUCUCAAGCAUAUCACAAUAUUUCACCAUACUACUUUCUAAGAGAUCUUUUACCCCGGAGUCAUUUAUCAAAUCUAAACACAAGUGAUUCUGUAGAUGCUGGAAAUUCAGCAGGUCAGGCAGCAUCUAUGGAUGGGAAUAAACAGCCUCCUCUUCCUCCACCAGCAGUCUGCUGCGGUCAGCCUCAGCAUCCACCAUAGAUAGUCAUAGAAAAGUACAGCACAGAAACCCACCUUGUCCAUGCUGAACCAUUUAAACUGCCUACUCCCACUGACCUGCACUGGGACCAUAGUCCUCCAUACCCCUACCAUCCUUGUACCUAUUCAAGCAUCUCAAACAUUGAAAUUGAGCUUGCAAGCACCACUUUGGCUGGCAGCUCAUUCCACACUCUCACAACCCUCAUGAGUGAAGAAGUUUCACCUCAUGUUCCCCUUAAACGUUUCACCUUUUAUCCUUAACCCAUGACUUCUAGUCCCACCCAGCCUCAAUGGAAAACGCCUGCUUGCAUUGACCCUAUGUAUAGCCCUCUUAAUUUUGUAUACCUGUAUUAGAUCUCCUCUCAGUCUUCCAUGUUCCAAGGAAUAAAGUCCUAAUCUAUUCAAUCUUUCCUUAUUACAGUACUCAGGUGCUCCAGACCCAGCAACAUCCUUGUAAAUUUUCUCUGUACUCUGCCAACCUUAUUUACAUCUUUCCUGUAGGGAGGUGACCAAAACUGCACACAAUACUCUGAAUAUUUCUCUUUCUUCGUUAAUCUUACAAAAAUUCCUCCUCCUCUUCCCAACAGCAAGAAUAGCUGGAAAGUGAAUUCAUUUCUCAUUUUCUCUCUCAAGCCAACUCUCAUAACUCUCAGCUCUGCAGGAGAUGGUUCACACUCAGUGUAGUCAGUGUCUCUCAGCUCCACCCCCUUCCACACAGCCC